rnacentral:rRNA from 1 species
UAGGGAAUCUUCCGCAAUGGACGAAAGUCUGACGGAGCAACGCCGCGUGAGUGAAGAAGGCUUUCGGUUCGUAAAACUCUGUUGUUAGGGAAGAAAAAAUGUAUAGUAACUAUAUACAAAAGAGACGGUACCUAACCAGAAAGCCACGGCUAACUACGUGCCAGCAGCCGCGGUAAUACGUAGGUGGCAAGCGUUGUCCGGAAUUAGUGGGCGUAAAGCGCGCGCAGGUGGUUUAGAAAGUCUGAUGUGAAAGCCCACGGCUCAACCGUGGAGGGUCAUUGGAAACUAAUAAACUUGAGUGCAGGAGAGAAAAGUGGAAUUCCUAGUGUAGCGGUGAAAUGCGUAGAGAUUAGGAGGAACACCGGUGGCGAAAGCGGCUUUUUGGCCUGCAACUGACACUGAGGCGCGAAAGCGUGGGGAGCAAACAGG